GCAAGUUGUGGACUUGAGUUGAAUCGGACUAAGGCGGGCAAGAGUGCGUUCAUAGAACCAAACCACAUCCUUACUUGCCAGCGAGAGUGUGUGUUCGAUGUGGGCUCGUGGCAAAUAAAGUUCUUCCACUCUGACAUCA